rnacentral:rRNA from 1 species
UACGUAGGGCGCAAGCGUUAUCCGGAAUUAUUGGGCGUAAAGAGCUCGUAGGCGGUUUGUCGCGUCUGCCGUGAAAGUCCGGGGCUCAACUCCGGAUCUGCGGUGGGUACGGGCAGACUAGAGUGAUGUAGGGGAGACUGGAAUUCCUGGUGUAGCGGUGAAAUGCGCAGAUAUCAGGAGGAACACCGAUGGCGAAGGCAGGUCUCUGGGCAUUACCUGACGCUGAGGAGCGGAAGCGUGGGUAGCGAACAGG